GAGGUAUUAGUAAAAUACGAAUAUUACAUCACCUUGUCGAGGUGAAAUUACAGGUUAAACUCCUGUAUACCUUA
rnacentral:tRNA from 1 species